rnacentral:lncRNA from 1 species
AUGCUCUAAUUUAAACAAUUCUACAACAGAGAAAUCAGGGGCUGCUCGUGUCAUAUUGUGAAGAACAAACGGGGAAGCGGAGCUUGAGGAUUGGAGAAGGAAAGGAGGACUGGGAUGACAGCUUUCUCUUUAAGAGGCUGGAUUCCCUCUCUUUGACGUCAGGGUUUCUGCACCAAAGACUGGCAUCUGAUAACCUGUUCGCUGGGUUAAAGAGGAUCUGAGAGCAGCGAGCGAGCGAAAUCCCCCUUUCAGCUGCAAUCAGCCAUCUGGUCCUCGAGUCGCUCCCAUCCUCUUAGCAGCAGCAGCAGCAGCAGCAUUCCUGGGCCCGGGGCGCUUCCUUGCAGCAUCCUACCAUGUCUGUGGCCGGGCUGAAGAAGCAGUUCCACAAAGCCACCCAGACAAAUUUUGCCCGAUGGCCAGUCAGGAUCCACUCAUCUGGGGGUUCCCGGCGAUGCCUCUGCACGUCACGGUCGCGCAGAGGGGUCAGAGUUCCAGUAGCUUGAUGUUGAACUGCAAUCCGGAAAUGGUUCCCAAAGAACAUUGUUUUUCAUUUACAUCAUAUAGGUUUCUAGGGAAAAUGUGCCUGCUUUUUUGAUCUAUUGCAACAAUUCCUUAACUCCAUCCAGUAGAGGACUCACCCAAAUUCUGGUUAUGAAUAUAAUGGUGUAUAUUGGGACCUUUAUCGACAGCUGUGCGUAGAGCAAAACAUUGCAUCU